rnacentral:rRNA from 1 species
UACGUAGGGAGCAAGCGUUGUCCGGAAUCAUUGGGCGUAAAGCGCGCGUAGGCGGCCCUGUAAGUCCGUUGUGAAAGUCAAAGGCUCAACCUUUGAAAGCCGAUGGAUACUGCAGGGCUAGAGUCCGGAAGAGGCGAGUGGAAUUCCUGGUGUAGCGGUGGAAUGCGCAGAUAUCAAGAGGAACACCAAUAGCGAAGGCGGCGACCUGGACAGGUACUGACACUCAACUACGAAAGCGUGGGGAGCAAACAGG